GACGAACGCUAGCGGCGUGCUUAACACAUGCAAGUCGAACGGAAAGGCCCUGCUUGCAGGGUACUCGAGUGGCGAACGGGUGAGUAACACGUGGGUGAUCUGCCCUGCACUUCGGGAUAAGCCUGGGAAACUGGGUCUAAUACCGGAUAGGAGCCAUUUUUAGUGUGAUGGUUGGAAAGUUUUUUUCGGUGUAGGAUGAGCUCGCGGCCUAUCAGCUUGUUGGUGGGGUAAUGGCCUACCAAGGCGGCGACGGGUAGCCGGCCUGAGAGGGUGGACGGCCACAUUGGGACUGAGAUACGGCCCAGACUCCUACGGGAGGCAGCAGUGGGGAAUAUUGCACAAUGGGCGCAAGCCUGAUGCAGCGACGCCGCGUGGGGGAUGACGGCCUUCGGGUUGUAAACUCCUUUCGCUAGGGACGAAGCUUUUUGUGACGGUACCUAGAUAAGAAGCACCGGCUAACUACGUG
rnacentral:rRNA from 1 species